rnacentral:tRNA from 1 species
GCCAGUGUGAUGAAAUUGGUAAACAUACCGCAUUCAAAAUGCGGCGCCUAACGGCUUGGCGGUUCGAGUCCGCCCACUGGUACCA